rnacentral:rRNA from 1 species
CGCGUAGGCGGUCGUGCACGUCGAGGGUGAAAUCCCCGGGCUUAACCCGGGAACUGCCUUUGAUACGGCGCGACUCGAGUGCGGGAGGGGAGAGUGGAACUCCUGGUGGAGCGGUGAAAUGCGUAGAUAUCAGGAGGAACGCCGGUGGCGAAAGCGACUCUCUGGUCCGCAACUGACGCUGAGGCGCGAAAGCUAGGGGAGCAAACGGGAUUAGAUACCCCGGUAGUCCUAGCCCUAAACUAUGAGCACUAGGUAGCGGCAGGUCCGACUUGUCGCUGCUGAAGCAAAUGUAUUAAGUGCUCCGCCUGGGGAGUAUGGCCGCAAGGCUAAA